rnacentral:misc_RNA from 1 species
CAGAGUUGCAAAACUCCCUAAACCAUUGUGAACGUUACCUUAUACCGUUGCUUCGGCGGGCGGCCCGGGUCCUGCCCGGCGCCCCUCGGCCCCUCGCGGGCGCCCGCCGGAGGUAAACCAAACCAUUGAAUUGUAUGGCCUCUCUGAGUAACUUAUCAAAUAAGUCA